ensembl:lncRNA
CUCCACAUCUGGGAUUUGAAGGCUGACCAAGACCUGACCAGUAUGGAAGGGGAGAUUUGGAGGUACCUGGUCAGGUCGAGCAAGGUCUUGGUCAGCCUUCAAAUCCCAGAUGUGGAGACUGCAGGGAUACCUCACAGAGAAGACACUAAAGAGUCAUCUCUCAUUCAUCAAGUGGACUCAUUGGUUUGCGAAUGACCACAAAGAUGCUCCCAUAGGCAGAUUGCUGCAUGGCAUUCACCGCUUAUUCAAAUUGAAGAGGUUGAAGCAGUCUUCCUUAUGGUCACUUGCCAUAACAAUGUCAUGUGUUUUAUGAAAACACCAUCAGUAACAUUUAAAUUGAGUUGAUGUGGACGGCUCUUUUUUUUGUCAGAUUUCUUCAGUGUUCAGUGCCUGUAUGUGAGAUAUGCAUUGUUUGAAAGAUAAGCCUUUGAUUUUGUUUAAUUUUAAUGCCUUUCAUCAACAGUGGUUUGGGGUUUUAUAACAACAAUUAAAGUGCUUAACUACUGGUGAACGAUGUUGCAGAACAUAUAUGGUUUGUGUUGAUUGCAUGGAAAAGGGAAUAACCAGUUACAACUUAUAUGGUAAGAGCCUGGUAAUACCAUGGAAACAAACUAGGCUUCCUUUUACAGUACAGUUUCAGCUUACUUACUGGGUAAAUUGUCGUGUUUUACUU